UUUCUUUUCCUUCUUUAUCUUCUGUAUCUUAUGAGAUCCACUUUCAUCCUCACUGGUCGAGCAACGAUGACGGACUGCGAAUCGACGAGCGGUAGCUGGCGGCUCUUCACCAAGAUUCGCGCGUGUGUGAGUCGUGGGCGAGAAGCCGGGAGCCGCACAGAGGAUCGCGCCGCGGUUGGUCGUGCGUGUGGGGGGAGUUGGAUGGUGGCUGCUUGCCAGAACCGCUGCCGUCAAGGGGCCGAGAGAGAGGAUGAGCUUGGUUGUCACCGUGCAAACGAAAAGGCGGCGAUGGUAACGGCAGCGGCAGCAGGUCGUGUGCGUGUGACUGGAUAUAGACGAGGAUAACACCGUGGCGUAGGAAAUUACGACGAGUUGCCGAAGAAAGGUGGCAGUGGGAUGAGUGGAGAGAGAGAGAGAGAGAGAGAGGUGGGGGAGGUGAUGGCUCGUUGUCGGUGCUGGCAUGGCACGAGCCAGCACGACGCGGCGUGGUCUCUCAGGCGGCGUGGCGCGAUGCGAUCCGACGCGGCGUGGCGCGAUGCAACCCACCGCGGCGUGGCCCGAAUCGAGCCGAGUCGGUUCAACGUAGCGCGCGAUGGUCGAGGGAGUGGAGCAAGUGCCGUCACAGGACAAGCUCGAUCCGUGCUGUUCGGCUCGUCGAGGUGAUGAGCCCUCGAGGCGGGUGGCGGGCAGAGGGUGACGAGCGACUGGCGGCAGGCGGCGCACGGCGGCCGGUGGACGGCAUGCAGUAGGGGAGAGGGGAGAUGUAUGUUGGGCGGGCGUGCGGCCGUGCGGCGUGCGGCUAUGAGGCGCGGUGUGAGGCGUGCGGCAUGCGGCGUGCGGCAAGUAUAGCGCGGAGACGACGGGCGGCGGCCGCUUCAUGGCUUAUAGAGAGGGAGAAAGAGAGGGAGAGAGCGGUCGAACGGAUGGACCGUGGAGACCGUGAAGCGUGCAGCGAGUGUGUUGGAGGGCGAUGAAGCGGAGGCGCUUGAGGGGAAAUGAGUGAACCAGGAGGCAAAGAAGAGACGUGGGUGUAGAGAGCACGAGGAAAUGUGUGCGACGGUAAGGCGUCGGCAGUGGGGUCGGAGGAGAUAGUCGUCGGCACGCGCGGCGCAACCUCUCUCUACCCACGCAAACGUAACCACGUACGUGCGAACGCGCUCGUACGUGAGAGCGUGCGUGUCAAGCUGCCUGCGUGCCAGCGUGCCGCCCCUGUCGGUCGCCCGCCACCGCGUGUCACCGUAUAUGUAUAGUAUACCAUUUCCUCUACCUACUUCUAUGCCUUUGUAUAUGUGAACGCACUAACUGAUGUUGGUUGCACGCGUUCGUCCAGUGACAGAGCUAAUCAAAUGGUUCUACUAUUUCGUGUUUCGAAAUUAAUCUCUCCCGAUCAGAACAAUUAUGCCGAUCAUAAAAUAAGUAUUAUAAAUAUAAAAAUAUACGAUAUUUAUUUUUUUUU